rnacentral:tRNA from 1 species
GAAAUAUAUACAUAAAAUUAAAAUUAAGCUGCUAACUUAAUUUUUAGUGGUUAAACCCAUUAAUAUUUCU